GAUGAACGCUGGCGGCGUGCCUAAUACAUGCAAGUCGAGCGAAUGGAUUAAGAGCUUGCUCUUAUGAAGUUAGCGGCGGACGGGUGAGUAACACGUGGGUAACCUGCCCAUAAGACUGGGAUAACUCCGGGAAACCGGGGCUAAUACCGGAUAACAUUUUGAACCGCAUGGUUCGAAAUUGAAAGGCGGCUUCGGCUGUCACUUAUGGAUGGGCUCGCGUCGCAUUAGCUAGUUGGUGAGGUAACGGCUCACCAAGGCAACGAUGCGUAGCCGACCGGAGAGGGUGAUCGGCCACCCUGGGACUGGGACACGGCCCAGACUCCUACGGGAGGCAGCAGUAGGGAAUCUUCCGCAAUGGACGAAAGUCUGACGGAGCAACGCCGCGUGAGUGAUGAAGACUUUCGGGUCGUAAAACUCUGUUGUUGGGGAAGAACAAGUGCUAGUUGAAUAAGCUGGCACCUUGACGGUACCUAACCAGAAAGCCACGGCUAACUACGUGCCAGCCGCCGCGGUAA
rnacentral:rRNA from 1 species